CCGGAAUGGACGAACCAAUGGUGUUCCAGUUGUCGCGCCAGCGGCAUUGCUGGGUAGCUAAGUUCGGAAUGGAUAACCGCUGAAAGCAUCUAAGCGGGAAGCCAACCUCGAGAUUAGAUAUCCCUCUGUAUGGAAACAUACAGACUGAAGACCCCUUGAAGACUACAAGGUUGAUAGGCCAGGUGUGUAAGCAUAGCAAUAUGUUUAGCUUACUGGUACUAAUAGGUCGUGAGGCUUAGUCAC
rnacentral:rRNA from 1 species